GUGGUUGAAACUUGAAAGGUGAAUGUUGAAAACCGGGGUGCUAUGGGAAAGAUGGAUGUUUAUUGUUGAUUUUUAAAUUUUCUUUUAUAUUUGUGCUGUGUAUCCCCCAAAAAAUAUUUUUAAAAUGGCUUCAUUUGGCCAUAUUUAUCGUUUGAGUAAUAUUACAAUUGGUAGUUACAAAAAUAUUGUAAAUAUUCGGUGGCCCAAUUCUAUCCAAACUUAUAAUUAUACUAAAAAAUCUGCUGAAGAGAGACUGGGAAUAGAAAAACCAAAGAGACCAUUGACACCCUUUUUUAAAUUUAUGGGUCAAAUGCGGCCAGCGCUCCUUGCAAAGAACCCUAGCAUAACAUCAAAGGAAGCAAUAGCAUGGACUUCUAAGCAUUGGCAACAGUUAGAUAGUGAAACUAAGUCUCAAAUGCUUAAAGAAUAUGAGAAAGAUUUGGAGGAUUAUAAAAAAAUAAAGGAACUCUACGAAGCAUCAUUAACAGAACAGCAAAAAGAAGAUAUUAAAAACCUAAAGGAGGAGAUGGCGGCUGCAAAAGAAAAAAGGAAACUUAAAGCUGAGUACAAGGAAUUAGGUCGGCCAAAGAAACCAAUGUCAUCCUACAUUAUGUACAUGACAUCAAGAAAGGAUACAUCAGACGCAAAGGAUUUUAAAACCUACCAAGAAAAGGUAAAAGCUGAUUGGUUGAAAUUACCGGAAAGUGAGAGAGUAAAAUUUGAAAAGCAGGCAUUGGAACAAAUGAUUAAAUAUAAGAAAGACUUGAAUGCAUGGGAAUUAAAGAUGAUUUCAAUUGGACGUUCAGAUCUUGUACGACAAAAGCCAAUCCAGAAGAAAAAGGCCAAAGCUGGGAAGGAAGAAUAGGGAUUCGGGUGCUCUGAUAUAUCAACUGAUCAUAGCAAUAAGGCUAAAAGUGAUAUACAAUCAUUUAAAUCGAAUAAUAAUGAGAAGAAUACAGUACAAUUAAAUGAAAAUGACAGUAUUAAACACAAUUCAGGAUUAGAAGAUAUUCAGAGCACGGGUGAAGUUAAAAUUGUUGAACAAAGGACUGACAAAAAUACCUCAAGUGAAAAUAACGAAAUGUUAUAUACAUAUUGAUAUAAAUGUGUUCUGUUGUGAUGCUGAUUAUUAUUAUUAUAAUGUUGAAAAAAUAUUGAAAGAAUCUGGGUUAGGUGAAAAAGUAUUUAUUUUUCUGGCAGUAUGAUUAUAACAACACAGAACAACAGAAACUACAGAACUAUUAACAACAGAAGUCAAAAAGUAACAAAUAAAACUUCAAGAACAAAGCAAUGGUAGCAUGAAAAUAUCUGGGCGUUAAUCGCAAGGGGGUGAAAGGGGAACUGGAAGGAGAUUCACAUUCCAUUGAGGAGCAGAGGUAUAGAGUAAUGUAGUAAUUAUUGCAUCUGUCAACAUUGUUGGUUAACCUUUUGUAGGAUUGGCCUAUGGACUUGCAUCCCGUGCCACUAAAUAAAUUAAAAAAAAAACCUUUUGUAGGAGACAGCACAGCAAAUUUUUUUUAAGCUAUUGCAUAGCUUCUAUCGCGGGCCAUGAGCGUGGGGACCGAAUCCAGAAAUUCCGUAACGAAAAUAACCUAACACUUACUUACUAGAUGUAUAUAUAUUUCGGCACGCUUUUUACAGUUGCCGUGGAACAGCAGUUAUUACAUAUGCUCGUUGUGCUGAAGGUCCCAGGUUCGAGCCUUUUUAUCACGUUUUUUUAAUUUUUAUUAUUAUGACCAGCAUUUUUAUUUAGUUUCACCUGUUGUCGUCUGUUAUCAAAUGUUGCAAGUUAAAUUUUACUCUGUUCCAGUUUUUUUUUUAUUAAUUUUAUUAAAAAAAAUACUGCAUAAAUAAAAUAAAUAAAUAAUUAUAAUUGCAUAAGUUGAUAAAAAAUGCUAUGCAAUAGCUUCACCGCGGCAGUCCCCAAGUGCCAAGUCUUUUUUCAAAGGAAUUACUAUAAAAGUGACAGCAUUAUUACUUAUAAUACAUAAACCAAUUGAGUGAUCAUGACCUCUUCUGCCAUCCUUGCCCACUAUUAAUGGGAAGACAUUGUAUCAACAUUGACCAUCUUUGAGCAGCAAUGUUAUGUGAGAUUUCAGCUGUUUCUCAUGUUUAGUGAUGUCAGAUGUUAUAAUCAAGUCAUUGAAGAACAGUCAUGAUAGAAUAGAAGCUUAUUGGGUACACAAAAGUAGAAACAUUGAGAAAUUCAGCAAUUGCUUUUUUAAUAAUAAAUAUCUUACAUUUUUCUUGUCUUCUCUAAGGGUUAUAAAUGAAAAAAAGUAUGAAUUCAACAUGGAAUCCCUUUUUUAUUCCAAAGUUAAUUACAAAAUUUUAUAUAUUCUUAUAAGAAAUUAAAUUUAUUUAUGUUACAUAGUUAUUUCAUUCAUUUAAAAUUAUUAAUGGUGACAAAAAUGUAUAUAAGAAGUUCUGACAUUUUCUUUGGUCUGAAAAUACCUAUUAACAUAAAAAUAUAUAUCUAGUGUUUUACAACUUUUUGUGAACAUUAAUAAAUAAAUAUCAUUAAAUAUUGUUGUUUUACUCCUUACAUGGCCAAUGGUUAUAAACAUUUGUCAUUGGUUUAUUGAUAAUGUAUAAAUCAUCUAUAAUGUAAGUAAAAUUCAAUGGAUAUUAACAAAUGGGAUGAAGAAUUCUGAUAAAAAUGCUUUUUUUUAAUAAAUACAUAUUAAAAAGAUAAAGUACUCCACCAAUAAAACAUUACAUGUAAAAUAAUAUUCAAUACAACUAAAUUCCUCUUUUUUUUUU